AGCUCCAGUAGCGUAUAUUAAAGUUGUUGCAGUUAAAAAGCUCGUAGUUGGAUUUCUGGUUUGAUAGCUCUGGCCCGCCUUAUAUGGUGUGUGUCGGUUGAUAUCUGCCAUCCUUUUACAAAACCUCUCUACCCUUCACUGGGCCGGAUUGGCGAUGUAAAACAUUUACUUUGAAAAAAUUAGAGUGUUCAAAGCAGGCUUGCGCUAUGAAUACAUUAGCAUGGAAUAAUAAUUUAGGGCUUUGGUUCUAUUUUGUUGGUUUCUAGGAUCGAAGCAAUGAUUGAUAGGGAUAGUUGGGGGUGCUAGUAUUAAACGGCCAGAGGUGAAAUUCCGUGAUUCGUUUAAGACUUACCUAUGCGAAAGCAUUCACCAAGGAUGUCUUCUUUA
rnacentral:rRNA from 1 species